CUCUUCAGUCGUUUCUCUUCUCUCACUCUUCAGUCGUUUUCCUGUCAAGAUUCUCUUCUCUCAGUCUUCAUUCGUUUCCAGUGUCAAGAAUCUCUGUUUCGAAGAGUCUCUGUUCCUUCGAUAGCAUUGGCACACGCCAAUCCAAUGCCUCAUAUUUGCAACCGGUGGACAUGCAUUUCUUUGAUUUUUGUUACUCGUCAGAGCUUCUGGGUUGUCUUCAGUUGCGUCCUCUGUUCUCCGCAUCUUCAAGAGCGGAAUACCUAAAGAAAUUGAAGAACACGCACAAGUGUCUGUGCGCCCCUUGUGGUCAUUUUUUCCUUGCACAAAGGCUGCCAAAAGAAAGUCAAGAAAACAUUGUUCAACAAUUCAAUGCUGCACUCCUUCUUUCUUCUUGAUUGAAAUUGAAAAGCUGUUGGAUGUUUCGAUAGUUGUAAUUUUUUCUUUUCCUCAAAACUCAAGAAAAUCCGUUUUUGUUGAAAUUCUUGAAUGUGUAUUUUAUUUUUAUCUUUGUUCAGUUGUUUUUUACCACAUUUAGAAAAUACAUUCUUUCUAACUUUUGUGUAAUUGGUAAAUCAUAUUUCGAUUCUUUUUCUUUAUAUUUUUAUUAUUUUGUUGUUGAAGUAGUUCCUUUUAGAGAAGUAGCUUUUAUCUUC